UCCAAUUGAAAUCAUUAAUUCCAACCUGCUACUAAUGAUUAAAAUAUCAAGACAAUUACGGAUCAAGAAUUUUAAUCUAGCAAUAAAAUUUAUUCAAGUCCUAUCUAACUGGCCACUCAAAUAAAACAAGAAUAAACCAUGAACAUUAAUUAUAGAAGAACAUAAACAAUCUCAAUUAAAUAAAUUGAAUGAUAGAAUUUAAAUUUAAUUGCAUAGCAUGUUUAGGGUUUUGAAUUCACCCUCAACCAAAUAAAAAUUUAGCCUAACAUAAUUAAAUUGGGAAUAAGAAAAUUGAUAAAACCAGUCAUGGAGAUUAAUUCAAGCGGCUGCCUUUUUCUUCAAUUGAAUUCCGGCUGCUGAUUUUCCUCUUGCUGCCGAAUUGCCUCUGGAUCGGUUUUGCUCCAAACUUGCAGCUGCUGCUCUUCUCUUUAUUUUCUCUUCGCUGGCAUCCUUUUUCUCUUUCUUGCUUCCGCUUGGCUUUCCCCUUUUAUAAUGUUGUGGCUUGUAAAAUCCUCUUAUGAAAAGAAUUAAAAGCAAAAGCCCAGCCGCCUAUUUCAUUCCUAAGCCAAUCAGAAUUGAAACCAAAGCCCAUCCACGUGACUUGCCAUAUUCUCUUUGUAAAUGAAUUCUUCAAUGCUUUGUCCACCACUUGUUUAGGCAAUUCACGUGCAUGAAAUAUGGCCAUUUCCUUUUUCUUCUUUGUUCAAUUUGCUUCCCAUAUU
rnacentral:lncRNA from 1 species